rnacentral:rRNA from 1 species
UACGUAGGGGGCAAGCGUUGUCCGGAAUCAUUGGGCGUAAAGCGCGUGUAGGCGGCUCGAUAAGUCCGCUCUGAAAGCCCGGGGCUCAACCCCGGGAGGCGGGCGGAAACUGUCGGGCUAGAGUCCGGAAGAGGCGAGUGGAAUUCCCGGUGUAGCGGUGAAAUGCGCAGAUAUCAGGAGGAACACCGGUGGCGAAGGCGGGUCUCUGGGCCGAUACUGACGCUGAGGAGCGAGAGCGUGGGGAGCGAACAGG